AGCAGCCGCGGUAAUUCCAGCUCCAAUAGCGUAUAUUAAAGUUGUUGCAGUUAAAAAGCUCGUAGUUGAAUUUCGGGAUUCUACCGUUGGUCGGGCUAUCCAGUCUGUACUAGUGUGUAGAAUUUCUACCUUCUGGGGAACCACCAUGUUAUUAAUUUAGCGUGAUGGGAAACCAGGACCUUUACCUUGAAAAAAUUAGAGUGUUCAAAGCAGGCUUACGUCUGAAUACAUUAGCAUGGAAUAAUAAAAUAGGACGGUGGUCCUGUUUGUUGGUUUCUGAAUCACCGUAAUGAUUAAUAGGGAUAGUUGGGGGCAUUAGUAUUCAAUUGUCAGAGGUGAAAUUCUUGGAUUUAUUGAAGACUAACUUCUGCGAAAGCAUUUGCCAAGGAUGUUUCAUUAAUCAAGAACGAAUGUUAGGGAUCGAAGACGAUCAGAUACCGUCGUAGUCUUAACCAAAUAACUAUGCCGGCUAGGGAUCGGACGAUGUUAAAUNUUAUUGACUUCGUUCGCGCCUUACGGA
rnacentral:rRNA from 1 species